rnacentral:piRNA from 1 species
UGAUAUAGGUGUUUCUCCUCAAGAGAGU